AAAAUUUGUUUUAUACUCCCAACAUAUUUAAGGCCAUGAAAUUGAAAGUUUAAUACUCACAAGUUUAAGUCUUGAAGGAUGCCCUUGAAGUAAAGGGACAAACGUCUGAGACUCUGUGACAAGAGAUUGUAUACAAUACAUAUAUUUUCUCUAAGUGAGCCGGAAGCAUCUUCACGUAUAUUACCUACCACUCCACCAUUCUGUGUCUAUAUAACAUCCAUGUAAAUUUAUGACAUUCCGAUUCCAAGUUCCAACCCAAUUUAUGAACCUCAUCUAAAUCUGUCCUUAUCAACUGUCCUCAAAUUACACAAACCUAUACCACGAUAUUUUUUUUCCCCAAAACGAUAGCCUUGAAUGCUGGAAGAAGAAGAAAAAUAUAGACGUUGAGAGCAGUAAAUAUAUGGGGCAAAUAUUUAUGGUUUUAGCAACGGGACCAAAAGAGUACACAAGUAACCAUAUAUAUCGCCAUUGUUACCUGUGAUGGUGGUGAAUCAUGCGUUCCCUUCAUCUGUGAUAGUGAUCACUGGUGCCAUCUGUAACCUGUUGUGAUGGAGCA
rnacentral:lncRNA from 1 species